CCGAGUUAGGGUCCCCCUCGUGGGGCCCGACCUCCCAACCCCGUGUCUAAUAAACCUGUUUGUGUUGCUUCGGCGGAACGGCAGUCGUUCCUUCUGGAAUAACCGUCGCCGGGGGACUCACGGUCUCACGACCGCCCCUGGAGAGCGUCCGCCGAUGGCCCCAACCAAAACAACUACCAAACCCAAAUUAUGAAACCCAAAUUUUCUGAAUCAGACUUUUGAUAUACCAAUCAAAAACA
rnacentral:misc_RNA from 1 species